CCUACGGGUGGCAGCAGUGAGGAAUAUUGGUCAAUGGACGAGAGUCUGAACCAGCCAAGUAGCGUGAAGGAUGACUGCCCUAUGGGUUGUAAACUUCUUUUAUCUGGGAAUAAAAUGUUCCACGUGUGGGAUUUUGUAUGUACCCUAUGUAUAAGGAUCGGCUAACUCCGUGCCAGCAGCCGCGGUACGACGGAGGAUCCGAGCGUUAUCCGGAUUUAUUGGGUUUAAAGGGAGCGUAGGUGGAUUGUUAAGGCAGUUGUGAAAGUUUGCGGCUCAACCGUAAAAUUGCAGUUGACACUGGCAGUCUUGAGUACAGUAGAGGUGGGCGGAAUUCGGGGUGUAGCGGUGAAAUGCUUAGAUAUCACGAAGAACUCCGAUUGCGAAGGCAGUUCACUGGACUGCAACUGACACUGAGGCUCGAAAGUGUGGGUAUCAAACAGGAUUAGAUACCCGAGUAGUC
rnacentral:rRNA from 1 species